rnacentral:ribozyme from 11 species
GGAAAAAAAGAUUGAAUUUUCUUUGUCUCAUCUCCAUCUUUUGUUUGUUUUUCUUUAUUUUUUUCCAUGAUAUCACAUAAUUCUUCAUGAAAGUAGGCAGC